rnacentral:lncRNA from 7 species
GAUACCACUAAGUAUGGGAAAACUAUGCAGCAGGCUGAGGAUAGUAAAUCACUUGCUUCUUUGGACACUCUGGCCUGUUUCAGCUAUGCACAGGUGAAACAAAACACCUGAUUGUGUCUGCUCUUGAAGACUUCUCUCGCACUGAAGCCAAUAGGAGGCAAAGGAAGAGUAAAGGUUUAGAGGGAUUUUGAAGUCUGCAAGACUGAAUGAGAAGUAGUUAUUUCCCAGAGACAGGAGCUGCGGUGCCCAAGAAGAUGAUCAAUGGCAUUGGGCUCUACUGCGAAGAGACAUGGCAGCUUUUUCCUCCACCACAACGUAUGAUGCAUUGCAGUGAUUCUAGAUUUGCAUAUGGGACAAGUUGCAUGUAGUUGGGCUGUGACAGGUAGAUGGAGGACGAUUAAGAUAUGAAUAGGAUCGUGUUUUGAAAGACCCAAGAAAUACAUGGGAAGAACAGUAAGGAGUGAGAUAUUUUCCCUGAUAAAUUCUUGUAAGUGAGCAGGACAACUCAAACAAACAUACCUUUUGAUUCUAUUUCAAAAUUGCAAUUUGUUAAUCUUAGAUACAUAUUGCUCUUCUCUGUAUUUGAGAUUUUAGAGAGGUAGCUUAGGUCUCUUAUCAAACUUACAAUAAAUAAAGCACAGCUUUCAGUUAGCAGCACUUGUGAAAGCUUCAUAUCUUCAUUUUGAUAUCCCUUGCCAGAGGGUAUAGUUCAGUUCACCGACCCAGUAUAGGAGCUUUUGUUGUUUGGCCUCCUUUCACUUGUCUAUCCUAUAGAAGGCCUUCAGCUGUAGGUUACCUCUUCCAUAGUAUAACUAAGACAAUCUGGGUUUUUGACUUCUUAAUUUAUAUUUUUUAUUUCUUUUUUCAUUUAUUUAAUACGUCUCCUUGUGUGGAUUUUCUGGUGUCCAAUAAAGUUUUUCCUGCUG